GCCAGCGCUAUAUCUCCCUGCAGCUCUCGCCUGGUUUCCACCUGAAGCUAAGCAGGGUUGAGCCUGGCCAGUACCUGGAUGGGAGACCUCCUGGGGAAAACUAAGGUUGCUGCUGGAA
rnacentral:rRNA from 1 species